UGUGGGUGGCAAACAAAGACGACA
rnacentral:miRNA from 1 species